rnacentral:rRNA from 1 species
GACGAACGCUGGCGGCGUGCUUAACACAUGCAAGUCGAACGGAAAGGUACUGCGUUUGUUGGGUGCUCGAGUGGCGAACGGGUGAGUAACACGUGAGUAAACUCCCCCUGACUUUGGGAUAACUUCAGGGAACUGCAGCGAAUACCCGAUAUGAGAUCCUGCAGCAUGGUGGUGGAUGGAAAGUGUCGGCGGUUGGAGCUGGACUAGAGGGUUAUCAGCCUGAUGGUGGGGUAGGUGCUUACCAAGGCUUUGAAGGGUAGCCGGCAUGAGAGGGGGAACGGCCACCUUGGGACUACGAUACGGACCAGAAUGCUACGGGCGGCAGUAGUGGGGAAUAUUGCACAAUGGGCGGAAGCCUGAUGCAGCAACGCCGCGUGCGGGAUGACGGCUUUCGGGUUGUAAACCGAUUUCGCCUGUGAUGAAGAGUUCGUGACGGUAAUGGGUAAAGAAGCACCGGCUAACUACGUG